AGUGAACGCUGGCGGUAGGCCUAACACAUGCAAGUCGAACGGCAGCACAGUAAGAGCUUGCUCUUACGGGUGGCGAGUGGCGGACGGGUGAGGAAUACAUCGGAAUCUACUUUUUCGUGGGGGAUAACGUAGGGAAACUUACGCUAAUACCGCAUACGACCUACGGGUGAAAGCAGGGGAUCUUCGGACCUUGCGCGAUUGAAUGAGCCGAUGUCGGAUUAGAUAGUUGGCGGGGUAAAGACCCACCAAGGCGACGAUCCGUAGCUGGUCUGAGAGGACGAUCAGCCACACUGGAACUGAGACACGGUCCAGACUCCAACGGGAGGCAGCAGUGGGGAAUAUUGGACAAUGGGCGCAAGCCUGAUCCAGCCAUACCGCGUGGGUGAAGAAGGCCUUCGGGUUGUAAAGCCCUUUUGUUGGGAAAGAAAAGCAGCAGGUUAAUACCCCGCUGUUCUGACGGUACCCAAAGAAUAAGCACCGGCUAACUUCGUG
rnacentral:rRNA from 1 species